UGGGGAAUAUUGCACAAUGGGGGAAACCCUGAUGCAGCGACGCCGCGUGAGCGAGGAAGUAUUUCGGUAUGUAAAGCUCUGUCAGCAGGGAAGAAAAUGACGGUACCUGACCAAGAAGCCCCGGCUAACUACGUGCCAGCAGCCGCGGUAAUACGUAGGGGGCAAGCGUUAUCCGGAUUUACUGGGUGUAAAGGGAGCGCAGGCGGCCGUGUAAGCCAGAAGUGAAAGCCCGGGGCUCAACCGCGGGACUGCUUUUGGAACUACAUGGCUUGAUUGCAGGAGAGGCAAGUGGAAUUCCUAGUGUAGCGGUGAAAUGCGUAGAUAUUAGGAGGAACACCAGUGGCGAAGGCGGCUUGCUGGACUGUGAAUGACGCUGAGGCUCGAAAGCGUGGGGAGCAAACAGG
rnacentral:rRNA from 1 species